CCUCAGGAGCCAUCCAGGCGUAGGUGCCCGCGGCACUCAUUUGUGUGGUUUUGUGCCACUCUCGGGCCAGGCCAAAGUCGGUGAUCUUCAGGGUCUUGUGCUCCAUGUCGUCACUCUCAAUGGGCUGCAGCAGCAAAAUGUUGUUGGACUUGAGAUCACGGUGGAUGACGGGCACCAGGGCCUCGCAGUGCAGGUAGUGCAUCCCACGGGCAAUCUGCACAGCCCAGUUGACCAGCACAUGGGGAGGCACGCGCCGCCCGGCCAGAGCUCGGCUGAGGGGCCCACCGGCUG
rnacentral:lncRNA from 1 species